rnacentral:lncRNA from 1 species
AUGGAGGGGGCCCUUUGUGGCGGAAGGGGUCCCUGGAAACAAUUCUGGCACAGAACCUGCCCUGCAGGCUAUAGGGUGCAUGGAGCUGAGGGGCAUCCGAACGCGUUGCGGGUGGUUGUGAGGAGGCCUGUCUGCAUCUCCUUCUGGCCCCACUGGGGUCCAGGGGUGCCAAGAAAGGAGCUUCCCCUGCCUGCCUGCCUGAGUCUGUCCCCGCAGGCUUCAUUUCAAACACCGUGGCACCUCCGAGCAAGGAGGGCCGUGUGUAAAAGCUUGCUUCCCCAGCCAGCACUGCAGGGCCCUGAGGUGGUCAUGUCCCUGCCCUCAAUUCUUGAAGCACCAGCUCCCUGCCCCACCCUCCAGUGCCUGGGGCAGCCGGGGGCUUCUGCUCUCAUCUCUGACCAGCAGAAUCCACCCGGUGACCAGUGGUGGCCCCUCAGCCCACCCUCCCGGCAGCUCAGCCUGUGGCUCUUGAGGCUGUGGUUCCCACGUGGACUGGGAGGCAGUCUCACAGCCACCCGGGGUGCUGUUCAGCUGCCCCUCCCUGCCAUCAGCAGGGGCCCAGGCUGCCAUCACUGGAGGCUGCAGGGACCAAGAGGCCAUCACCAUGUCUAUAGACAGCAGACAGAAGCAGAAAGAGCCGGGGGCUCCGGAGCCUCUGUAUGUGCCCUCCCAGCCCACACCGGUGCUCUCGACCACUGAGCACCCAGACUCAGGCUUGGGUUCCCCAGCCUUAUUGGAAGGCAGCUCCCGCAUACCAGGGUAACCCCUGCAAACCACAUAGCAGACCCCCGCCAUCCUCACACAGUGGGAGAGGCUGCAGCAAGGCUUUGCCUCUGCAGACCCCAUCUUAGUGGCACAGUGCUUGGGCCUGUGUCCCCGGGUGGUGGAACCCUGUACCGGUCUGUGGCCCUAGGGGCCCCGCUCUGCGGUCUGCCCCGGCCCAUGCCGUCCGCUGGGCUAGGCAGGCUCCCCCGUGCCCUGCCUCCCUCUGUCAGGGAACCUGGGACCCCCUCCCCACUGCCUGCACAGAGGACCCUGACCCUCGGCCAGCAGGGUGGCCCCAGGUCCAUGUUGGGCACUAGGGCAGGUUCCGUGCCAGAGUCAGGGGCCACAUGAGGGCCUGGUGCCGGUGAGGGGGGUGUGCGCUAGAGGGGGAAAGGGGCCCCCGGCCACCUGUCCACCAUGUGGGCCGUGCUGUGUCCUAUGUCAUUGUAAUAUAAAUACAGAUUUUU